rnacentral:rRNA from 1 species
CUAAGCCAUGCGAGUCAUUGUAGCAAUACAAGGCAGACGGCUCAGUAACGCGUAGUCAACCUAACCUAUGGACGGGAAUAACCUCGGGAAACUGAGAAUAAUGCCCGAUAGAACACUAUACCUGGAAUGGUUUGUGUUCCAAAUGAUUUAUCGCCGUAGGAUGGGACUGCGGCCUAUCAGUUUGUUGGUGAGGUAAUGGCCCACCAAGACUAUUACAGGUACGGGCUCUGAGAGGAGUAGCCCGGAGAUGGGUACUGAGACACGGACCCAGGCCCUAUGGGGCGCAGCAGGCGAGAAAACUUUGCAAUGUGCGAAAGCACGACAAGGUUAAUCCGAGUGAUUUGUGCUAAACGAAUCUUUUGUUAGUCCUAGAACCACUAACGAAUAAGGGGUGGGCAAGUUCUGGUGUCAGCCGCCGCGGUAAAACCAGCACCUCAAGUGGUCAGGAUGAUUAUUGGGCCUAAAGCAUCCGUAGCCGGCUCUGUAAGUUUUCGGUUAAAUCUGUACGCUUAACGUACAGGCUGCCGGGAAUACUGCAGAGCUAGGGAGUGGGAGAGGUAGACGGUACUCGGUAGGAAGGGGUAAAAUCCUUUGAUCUAUUGAUGACCACCUGUGGCGAAGGCGGUCUACCAGAACACGUCCGACGGUGAGGGAUGAAAGCUGGGGGAGCAAACCGGAUUAGAUACCCGGGUAGUCCCAGCUGUAAACUAUGCAAACUCAGUGAUGCAUUGACUUGUGGUCAAUGCAGUGCUGCAGGGAAGCCGUUAAGUUUGCCGCCCGGGAAGUACGUACGCAAGUAUGAAACUUAAAGGAAUUGGCGGGGGAGCACCACAAGGGGUGAAGCCUGCGGUUCAAUUGGAGUCAACGCCGGAAAUCACU